ACACCGCCGCCCAGAUGGACAACGGCGAGCAGCCGGCGCGGCGCGGCGUGGCGAGGGUUGGCGACAGGCAGUACUCCUCCGUCGAGCACCAGCACGGCGGAAGGUGCUCGCCGGCGCCGUCGGCCAUGACGGAGCUGAGCCCGAGGGCGAGCAGCUGGCACGUGGACGACCACAUCUCCAAUGAUAUGAUAGUUGUUCCCAGGCUAAUCAUAAUCCAACAAUAUUUAUGAUCAGGGUAGCUCUAUCUGGUUCAGUAUUUGUGCAGGAAAGAAUAAAAACACCAAACUUUUUUCUAGAUCGAAAGGAACUUAAUUAGCCUAUAAGAGGAACUGAAAAUGCUGAUAUUCUGUACUCCCUCUGUAAAGAAAUUCAGUGAUCUAAACGCUCUUAUAUUUUUUCACGGAGGGAGUAUCAACUUACGGCUGUGCAACCGAGUUGUAAUUUUGUGACUUAGAUCCUCUCCUUUUGCUGGAUACUGAACUUGGGGAAUUUCAUGAAUGCUAUUGAGCUUCAGUGUUACCUUGCAUAAAAAUAGCAUAGCUAGAUAUCAUGUCAACUCGUGCAUAUUGACAGUUCUGAAGUUUCUGGAUUGGGCAUCCACUGUUUAAUAAUAUCAUCUCUUUUAUGGGAAGUCUAGCUGCAUACACUUGGAUGCUUUCAUGCCUGACAUUACUUUGUGUCUGACAGUUUUGUUUCUUGGUAUCAGGUGCCAGUUUAUAUAGCAGAAAUUGCUCCAAAGAACAUGAGAGGAGCUCUUGGUUCAGUCAAUCAGCUCUCUGUUACAAUUGGUAUAUUGCUUGCCUACACAUUAGGCAUGUUUGUUCCUUGGAGAAUUCUUUCUCUUCUUGGCAUUUUACCUUGCUCAAUCCUGAUACCUGGGCUGUUCUUUAUCCCUGAAUCACCAAGGUGGCUGGCAAAAAUGGGAAAGAUGGAGGAGGACAACCAUACGAUUUGCUGAGAUCAAACACAAGAGAUAUAGUGUUCCUCUUAUUGUUGAUAGGAAUUGGUCUCCUUAUACUUCAGCAACUAAGUGGUGUCAACGGCAUUUUCUUCUAUGCUGCAAGUAUCUUCAAAGCUGCUGGAAGCUCAUAUCGCAGUACUGAGCCUUAAUACGUCAGCAAUAGCAAUAGCAAUAGCAGCUCAGCUCCGCCAUGGCCGCCGGCGACGGCGAGCACCUGCCGCCGUGAUGGUGCUCGACGGAGGAGUACUGCCUGUCGCCGCCCCUCGCCACGCCGCGCCGCGCCGGCUGCUCGCCGCUGUCCAUCUAGGCAGCGGUGUGUGGUGGGGGUGAUGCGGGAGGCGGGGUGGAGGAGCAGGGGAGAUGGUGAGGAGGCGGG